UCUCCGUAGGUGAACCUGCGGAGGGAUCAUUACUGAGUGAGGGCCUUCGGGCUCGACCUCCAACCCUUUGUGAAUCGUACUCGUUGCUUCGGGGGCGACCCUGCCGUCCGCGGCUGAGCGCCCCCGGGGUCAAUCAAACACUGCAUCUUUGCGUCGGAGUUUAAAACAAAUGAAACAAAACUUUCAACAACGGAUCUCUUGGUUCUGGCAUCGAUGAAGAACGCAGC
rnacentral:misc_RNA from 1 species